UACGGAGGGUGCAAGCGUUGUCCGGAUUUAUUGGGUUUAAAGGGUGCGUAGGUGGCUUGUUAAGUCCGGGGUGAAAGCCCACAGCUCAACUGUGGAACUGCCCUGGAUACUGGCGAGCUUGAGUCCAGACGAGGUUGGCGGAAUGGAAGAUGUAGCGGUGAAAUGCAUAGAUAUCUUCCAGAACCCCGAUUGCGUAGGCAGCUGACUAGGCUGGUACUGACACUGAGGCACGAAAGCGUGGGGAGCGAACAGG
rnacentral:rRNA from 1 species